UACUCACAAAAGUUUAUAUGGGCAUGGCAUCUCAGGAGAGUGCCAGUCUCCUAUUUUCCCUUUAGUCGUUCUUCCACUACCUAAUUCUUAUUCUUUCUCAAAUCUUCUUCAAGCUUCUUUCACUCUAUUCUAACUAAAUUCUAGUUCUCCUCGCAUUUCAAGAACUUCUUCAAAGAUUAAUCAUAAUAAUAAUCACCCAUCAUCUAAGAAAUUGAAGAGCUAAGUGAGGGUCUAAGUGUGGUGGUGGUGGUGGCUGAAAAUUAGGAAGAAGAGGUGGAAGAAAUUGUGACUUGAAUUCUUAUUCUUCCAUUCCUUAAGGUGGUUCCGGAAGAAGGAACUAAUCCCUUGUUGAUUUGAAGUGUUGAUAUUAAGUUGAUCUAGGUGUUUUGGAAGGCGGGAAGAAUUCAAACAAGAAGAAGACAAGGGUCACAUGGUGGUUGUUCUAAGUGUAUUAUUCCUUGUAUGGCAAAGUUGCGGUUGGAUCCAAAAGAAAAGGGUUUCUUUCUCAUACCCGAUUUGGUAAAGAAAACAAAGGUUUCUGAUGCAAGUACUUUAAGUCAAUAGUAUCUCGACAAUCACAAUCACAUCAAUAUCAAAGGGAGGCUAUGUUGCCUUAAUUCCUCCUCUAUAUAAGGCAACACAGCCGCACAAAACACUUCGUGUUUGUCACCAUAAAGUGUGUAUCACUUAUAUUUCUAUCUUGUAAUUGUUUAAGUUUCUAGUUUGUCUAAACUUAACAAUUGUAUUUUCAUUUACUUUCUUGUAAAACAAGUUGUAAUAUCGACCAUGUAUUCACUGUUUAAUGAAUGAUACA